rnacentral:rRNA from 1 species
UACGUAGGGUGCGAGCGUUGUCCGGAUUUAUUGGGCGUAAAGGGCUCGUAGGCGGCUUGUCGCGUCGGGAGUGAAAGCCCGCUGCUUAACGGCGGGUUUGCUUUCGGUACGGGCAGGCUGGAGUACGGCAGGGAGAGUGGAAUUCCUGGUGUAGCGGUGAAAUGCGCAGAUAUCAGGAAGAACACCCGUGGCGAAGGCGGCUCUCUGGGACGUGACUGACGCUGAGACGCGAAAGCGUGGGGAGCGAACAGG